ACAAUUCUAGACUCUUGACACGCUUCUCCCAUAUAUGUACGUAUUUGAUCACACAUACGUACGAUCGGCCGUCUGAAAACCCGGUUGAUUUAACAGCUGUCGCGCACACACAAAACACACUCAAAAAAAGUUAAUUGUUUAACCAUGAUAUACAUAAAUGAGGAGAAACAAAUUUACACAAGUCUUCAAAAGAUUGAAUUCUGAUAGGAAAAACAACAACAACAGCAAAAUGCCAUAAUCACGUUGUAUAAUUAACUUGAAGUUAACUUCAAGUCCGCCGCACUCAUCAAUAAGUACAACAACAAAUAAAUGCAACCCGCCACCAGCAGUAAAUCUGAAUUGAGUAAUAGGUCCGGAAGGGAAAUUUUAAGCUCACAAAAAUCUACACUACGAAAACUAUCUUAAACCGCCCAAAACCAGUUGAGAAGUUCUUAUUUAAAAACAGAUGUAAGAACUACGAUUAGUCAAAGAUAUUUUUCUAUUAAGAUUUUUUCCUAUUUUACAUAAUACUUAUUUUAAAAAAACAUUUCAAUAUACUUUGUUAUAAUAAGAUUACAACACAAGAUCAGGUGAAAAAUUGAAUUACAGUCUGUAUAAUAGAAUUGGAAAUGGUCUUUCAAAGACUUAUAUUAUUGGUAUGUUGGAUAGUUAUGUAAUAGGUUUCGAGUCUUAAAAUACACUGCAACUUUAGUUUGAUUAUUAAAAUACAUUUUGAUUAUAAAAUAGACACUCGAUUUAAAAUUGUAUAUGUAUUGUAAACAAAACUGGGUUUUAGCCGGACUUCAGGUCAAUAAAUCUUAAUAAUUUAUAAGAUUUAGAAUCAUGGGCAGCACAAAAGCUGAGCAGGUUGUCUGUAUAACCAUUUUCAAGAACCACAUUUUGAGAAUUAUAGAAAAGUUUAUCUCAAUAUUAUUAUUUAUUUAAAACAAAUAUAUA